AUUGAACGCUGGCGGCAGGCCUAACACAUGCAAGUCGAACGGUAACAGAAAGCAGCUUGCUGCUUUGCUGACGAGUGGCGGACGGGUGAGUAAUGUCUGGGAAACUGCCUGAUGGAGGGGGAUAACUACUGGAAACGGUAGCUAAUACCGCAUAACGUCGCAAGACCAAAGAGGGGGACCUUCGGGCCUCUUGCCAUCGGAUGUGCCCAGAUGGGAUUAGCUAGUAGGUGGGGUAAAGGCUCACCUAGGCGACGAUCCCUAGCUGGUCUGAGAGGAUGACCGGCCACAAUGGAACUGAGACACGGUCCAGACUCCUACGGGAGGCAGCAGUGGGGAAUAUUGCACAAUGGGCGCAAGCCUGAUGCAGCCAUGCCGCGUGUAUGAAGAAGGCCUUCGGGUUGUAAAGUACUUUCAGCGGGGAGGAAGGGAGUAAAGUUAAUACCUUUGCUCAUUGACGUUACCCGCAGAAGAAGCACCGGCUAACUCCG
rnacentral:rRNA from 1 species